AGAGAACCAACUUUUCCCAAAUACGUGGAGGAGGUGUGAAUCUCAGUUCACAGCUCAGGAGUAAAAGAAAUACCACCUUCUCUAUCAUCCCUUCAUUCAAGAAAAUGUCUGUUUGGGGCCUCGAUCUACCAGCCUCAUGCAAUUUGAUCUCAGUCACUCCUGGGAUCCCCUUUUCUCCAGAGCUUUCCCUGCCGUGCAGAAAUCCCCAUGAGGCUGUCCUGGGCUCUGACCUCAGAUCCUCUACGCACCACCCCCUGUUUGACAACAAAGGUGAAUCCUUAACCACUGGACCACCUGGGAAGUCCUCAUAUGAGUUCUUAAAAGCAGAGCACCUUUCCUGGCUGUGGUCAGAAAGAGACGGUAAUGAAAGAAGAAUCAGAAAGAUGCCGUGUUGCUGGCUUUGAAGAUUAAUGAAGGGGCCACAAAUCGAGAACUGCAGGCCACCUCCAGAAACUGAAAGAGCUUCUAGCUUCUCCCCUAAAGCUUCAAAAAAGGAAUUCAACCUUGCUGACACAAGGAUACUAACCCAAGGAGAGCCACACUGGACUUCAGACCCAUGGAAUGGUAAGAUAAUAAAUCUAUGCUGUUUUCAGGCCAUAUAUUUUGUGUAGUUAGUUCUGGCAGUGAUAGAUAUACUGAUAGAUAUAAUAAUAUUAAUAGAUAAACC
ensembl:lncRNA